AUUGAACGCUGGCGGCAUGCCUUACACAUGCAAGUCGAACGGCAGCACGGGUGCUUGCACCUGGUGGCGAGUGGCGAACGGGUGAGUAAUACAUCGGAACGUACCUUAUCGUGGGGGAUAACGCAGCGAAAGCUGUGCUAAUACCGCAUACGCCCUGAGGGGGAAAGCGAGGGAUCGAAAGACCUCGCGCGAUUAGAGCGGCCGAUGCCUGAUUAGCUUGUUGGUGGGGGAAAAGCCCACCAAGGCGACGAUCAGUAGCUGGUCUGAGAGGACGAUCAGCCACACUGGGACUGAGACACGGCCCAGACUCCUACGGGAGGCAGCAGUGGGGAAUUUUGGACAAUGGGGGCAACCCUGAUCCAGCAAUGCCGCGUGAGUGAAGAAGGCCUUCGGGUUGUAAAGCUCUUUUGUCAGGGAAGAAACACCGGCUCUAACACAGUCCGGGAAUGACGGUACCUGAAGAAUAAGCACCGGCUAACUACGUGCCAGCCGCCGCAGUAA
rnacentral:rRNA from 1 species